UUGUAGCAUUGCUCAGAUGGUUAAGAGUCAAAUGGGUGGUAAGUUUAUUAAACUCAGAGCUUUUUAGUGAUGUGACCCCAGAGCCUAUACAGAAUUGAGAGUCAGCAAAGAAGUGUUUGAGAUCAUGCACUUUACAAAGAUUUAUCCAGGGGAGACCGUCUCCACACCCACCUGCACUUUGUACAUUUGAAAAGGGGACUACCAUUUUCUGACUAAUCUAGGAAAGAUGUGCAAGCCAGGGUUGUUGCACCCAGCACAUGUUCAUUUCAUUAUUGUAUCCAUGAUUGAGAAAAUGAUCCCCUAUCAUUGUGAACAUCAGAUAAAAUAUAAAAUACACAAACUAUUCUUUUUUAGCCUCAAAAUCGGACUUCAUUAAAUCCCCUCCCCAGAUUAUUAAAGACUAAUUGCAGAUUGAGGAUUGACGUGAUGGUGGGGAGAGAGGGAAUAUGGGAUCAUAUGGAAGGAUGCAGCUGUCAGAAGCACCAGUGAGGUCAUUAUAGGAAACUUUGUACUCAGCCACUAUUCCACCAUUUGCUAUUUUCAUGACCCUGGUCAAGGAAUUGAACUUCUAUGAGACUCAUUUAUAAAAGCUAAUAUUGUCUUCCUCACUGGGUUGUGGUAAUGAUAGAAUCAGGUCACUUUUCUACCGUGCUUAGCAUCAUGCCCAGGACCUAAUAAGCAACAUUCUGAUGUCAGCCCUACCUGAAUAUGUAAUAACACAAAUCAUCCAACAUGCUUUUCAGAACACGACCAUCAAGGUGAAAAAACUGAAAUCAUGAGAGAGGAAUUUGCAUCUUGGGUGAUCAGUGGGAACCUUUGUCCCCAAAUGUAUUAUUUUCAAAUAAAUCAGAGCGGAAGGGAGAGGUGGGCAGGCUGGCCAGGGCUGAGUUGCUGUGCAGAAUCCUCAGAAUCAAACGGAAGAUUCUCCUAUGGUGGAGACACGAAGAUAAAUUUAAGGAAAAUGUAUGAGGUGAGAAAUACAGGCAUCUGGGGUGGUGGUUUGUGUGGCUCCCUCACAUGGGCAUGUUAAAAAAUAUAGGAGUCAACGCAGAACAGUAAGUUCCAAGGUCCUGGGGUCACUAACUGGGUUUUCUUCUUUUGUUCCUCCCUGCCUCAUUAUGCCUCGUAUUCUAUGUUGACCACAUAAGGAGGGAGCAUUUUACAGUGAACAGAGUUCAGGCUUUGGACACCAGGCCUUCCUUGGCUGCCUCUAUCCUGGGCAACUUACAUCAAUUCUCUGUGCCUCAGGUGAGUCCUCUGUGAAACCAGAGACGGGGUGGAAAUGUUGACAAAUGGGGGCAAAGCAUCACCAUGAAAAAUGGCAACUAACUCUCAGUAGAUAUUUUGAUAGAUGAGGAGCAGAAAGUGUGGUCUAUAUCCAAACGGGGGAAAAGACCACUCAGAAAAACACUCCACAAGUCAAUUUUUAAAUUUCCUAGAGUGACCUUCUGGCUUGCCUUUCCCCUCAGGGUUCAGCGAUACCUGAGGCAGGGUUGGCUUCAGGCAGUAGAUCC
rnacentral:lncRNA from 12 species